rnacentral:tRNA from 1 species
UGGCUCAGUUGGUUAGAGCGCCGCCCUGUCACGGCGGAGGUCGCGGGUUCGAGUCCC